rnacentral:rRNA from 1 species
CCUACGGGGGGCUGCAGUGGGGAAUAUUGGACAAUGGGGGGAACCCUGAUCCAGCCAUGCCGCGUGUGUGAAGAAGGCCCUCGGGUUGUAAAGCACUUUCAGUGAGGAAGAACGCCUGGUGGUUAAUACCCAUCAGGAAAGACAUCACUCACAGAAGAAGCACCGGCUAACUCCGUGCCAGCAGCCGCGGUAAUACGGAGGGUGCGAGCGUUAAUCGGAAUUACUGGGCGUAAAGCGCGCGUAGGUGGCUUGAUAAACCGGUUGUGAAAGCCCCGGGCUCAACCUGGGAACGGCAUCCGGAACUGUCAAGCUAGAGUGCAGGAGAGGAAGGUAGAAUUCCCGGUGUAGCGGUGAAAUGCGUAGAGAUCGGGAGGAAUACCAGUGGCGAAGGCGGCCUUCUGGACUGACACUGACACUGAGGUGCGAAAGCGUGGGUAGCAAACAGGAUUAGAUACCCGUGUAGUC